rfam:Felis catus isolate Cinnamon breed Abyssinian chromosome X, whole genome shotgun sequence.
CCAAAGGCUCUUUUCAGAGCCACCUGGCUUGGCCAGAAAAGACCUGU